rnacentral:rRNA from 1 species
UACAGAGGGUGCGAGCGUUAAUCGGAAUUACUGGGCGUAAAGCGCGCGUAGGCGGCUUUGCAAGUCGGGUGUGAAAUCCCCAGGCUUAACCUGGGAACUGCAUUCGAGACUGCAUUGCUAGAGUAUGGGAGAGGGAAGUGGAAUUUCCGGUGUAGCGGUGAAAUGCGUAGAUAUCUGGAGGAACACCGGUGGCGAAGGCGGCGUCCUGGACCAACACUGACACUGAGGAGCGAAAGCCAGGGGAGCAAACGGG